GACCGCGUAGCUCAGUUCGAAGAGCAUUGGGCUGGUGUUCCAGGGGUCGUGGGUUCGAAUCCCGCCGUGGCCG
rnacentral:tRNA from 1 species